GUUUUUAGGUCUUGUUGGAUAUCCGAGUGAUGACAUUAAUAAGUUCCUGUGGAUGGUUCGCAUAGGAGGGGGGGUAUUCCCUCACAUCAAGGAACCUGAUUAUCUGGUGUUCACUACUCACCAUUGGAUGGUUCGGAUAUACAAAUUAAAACCUCCGAAGAACAGGAUCCGUGUAAAAACAAAGAAAUCAAAAUCGAAAGCAAGCUCCACAACCAGCUCAAAAAAAAAAUGGAAAAAAAAAAGAAGAAUCCCUGGCAAUGAAAGGCACUUUCAGAAGAUGCUGUCUCCAAUCAGUUACUUGUAACCCACAUAUUUAAUAUCCAAAACACUAAUUCGUUCUCUUAAAAGUAAUUUCUACAGCAAUUUUAUCGUGGUCAAUCCCAAACAGGCCUUUAUUAUGAUUUCUAUAUCCAUAUCCUCUCUUUUCAAUUUCUUCCUUU